UAGCUCCGACAGGGUCAAAGGAACACAACCACAAGAGAAGGAAAGAACAAGGAAGCGUUGCGGGAAGACACAAACACAUCACCUCAUGACUGGUCAACUUUUGGCACACAACAGCAGCUCUGCACAAUGCUGCCAUGCGCAGAGGCUCUCUCCAAGCCCUCGGGCACUCACACAGCAGCAUAAAAGCCGGCCCUGCACCUCGCUCCCUCACACCCUUCUCCUGACACCUUCUCCUCUCUGCUCCUACAGGGACCCUCCACCCCACAGCCAUGUCCUGCUACGACCUCUGCCGCCCCUGCGGACCCACCCCGCUGGCUAACAGCUGCAACGAGCCCUGUGUCAGGCAGUGCCAGGACUCCCAAGUCGUCAUCCAGCCUCCCGCCGUGGUGGUCACCCUGCCGGGACCCAUCCUCAGCUCCUUCCCCCAGAACACCGCCGUCGGAUCCUCCUCAUCAGCUGCCGUGGGCAGCGCCCUCAGCGCCCAGGGAGUGUCCAUCUCCUCCGGCGGAUUCGGCUUCGGAGGCCUGGGCUGCUUCAACGGCGGGAGAGCCCGCUACCCCUGCUAAGGGCCUGCGCCCACACCCUGACAGCAACCACCUGCACCCUGCAAGGCAAACCACGCACUCACCACGCUCCUCUGUGUCAGUGAUGGCACAUGGCAUCAGCAGCCAU